AUCAUGUUGAAUACCAAUUCAGUGAUGCAAAUUUGAUUUUUAGCGAUUUACUUGUGAAGAUUAAGAACAAAGAUCCUGAAGGAUAUGUUCUAAUGUCUAUUAUUGCCUCUUGGAAGAAGAUAAAAAAUCUCGGGGUUAACAAUCAGAUGCUUGCUAAAGCUCUUAGAACAUCAUCACAAUUUGUAAAUUUCCUCUAAACCUCCUUUUAUGGUUCCCAUAAUUUGUUAAGAUAAUGUCAAUGCUUCUUCUUUUUUUCUCUUUUGUUAAAUCAGGUGGUGAUUGAAGAUGGCAAGAAAGUGAGGAGCAAGAAACUCUUUACAGAGAAAGCCAAGAAGGAGCAGAUGUAAGCGCACUGUUGUAGUUGAAAUUUACCAGAGGACAGCUCACACCAAAACAUCGAGAAGUUCAUCAGCGUAGUUGGAUGGUUUGAAAAACAAGUGUUAAGAAUAUCAGAAUAUGUCAUCCUCAAGAGCCUAAUUCAACUAGGCCCUCAAAGACUGUCGUUAUAAUUAGUAACAAGUUGCAUGCAUUUGUGGAGUUUGAGACAAUUGUUCAAGCAGAUAAGGCCGUAGAGAAGCAAAAUUAUGAGAGCAAUUGGAGGAAAGGUUUGUGUGUGAGAUCAUUGCUUAAAUGCACGCCAAGAUCAGUAAUCAGAGGCAAAAUGUUAGAUCAUGAUCAUUUUGACUUGAACUCGGAGGAUGAUCAGUCUCCCCUCUCUCAAAAAUUAGAAUCUUCCAAAAAAUUGAGCAAGUACUUCAACAGGAUAUUGGUGAAAAUCAAAAUGGUGCAAGGAAUGCACGUGGAAGGGGACAAGGGAAACUAAUUAACUGGCCUAGUUCAAAAUAACAACGGACGUGGUGUUUUAUCCAGAACUCCACAAGGAACACCAAGGAUUGGCCACGUACUGUGUGAGAACAAUAUCAAACAAGCUUCUCCUGGAACAAGGAUGCACGACAGAACUCGGGGAUUCACUAUGGGAAGAGGAAAGCCAAUAAAAUCACUGACGACCGCAACUGAUCUUUCCCCAUCAAUCUUUGAUAUUUUUACUUGUUGCCUUCUCUUAUUUUGAAAUGGUCCUAGCUUGUUUUACAAUGCUUGAAUAAUAAUUCUUUCAUGUUUUCUACUGUUUAUCAUGUUGUAUUUCAUCGUAAUGUUUUGGAAUUUAUUUAUGCAACUUGUUUGUUGAACCGAAUAAUUUUGGCGUUAUGCUUUUGUUUCAAGUA